AAAGAACAUGCAGUAGUCGAUGGAUCCACCAGCUGAAGGUGGCAAUCCGUAGAGUCGCCAUACCCCCUUUCUCAUCUUAGAAUACACCGAAGACGGUGCAAA